AAGACCUUGCGCUUUUGGAGCGGCCGAUGCCUGAUUAGCUUGUUGGUAAGGUAAAAGCUUACCAAGGCUUCGAUCAGUAGCUGGUCUGAGAGGACGGCCAGCCACACUGGGACUGAGACACGGCCCAGACUCCUACGGGAGGCAGCAGUGGGGAAUUUUGGACAAUGGGGGCAACCCUGAUCCAGUCAUGCCGCGUGAGUGAAGAAGGCCUUCGGGUUGUAAAGCUCUUUCAGCCGGAACGAAACGGUUACGGUUAAUACCCGUGACUACUGACGGUACCGGAAGAAGAAGCACCGGCUAACUACGUGCCAGCAGCCGCGGUAAUACGUAGGGUGCGAGCGUUAAUCGGAAUUACUGGGCGUAAAGCGUGCGCAGGUGGUUUUGUAAGUCAGAUGUGAAAGCCCCGGGCUCAACCUGGGAACU
rnacentral:rRNA from 1 species